GAGCGAAAGCAAUAUGACGUGUUAAAAUAAGGAGACAUAUGUAUAAAGAAAAUAAUAAAGAAUCAGUUGAUAAGCGCCUCCCACAAGUGUAUAUACAUAUGUACAUAAUACCAAUGCUCUCAUUGUACAUGGGCUUGAGCACCCCUUACUUAAAUAGUUUUACCUAGGUAAUAGCUGCACAGAUUCGAAGAUGACAUCGCCGAGCCAGAUUUAUAGACGGUAAUCAAUUACAUACCGAACAGAUCCGUGUCGGAAUCAUCGGAGCGUCUUUGAAGCAUAUUAUCGUUGACCACCCGAUCGAUGGACUCCCUUUCAUAGUGAUCCAAGUAGGCGAUGAUGCGGCGC